rnacentral:tRNA from 1 species
GAUCAGGUGGCCGAGUGGUUAAGGCGAUGGACUGCUAAUCCAUUGGAUUCCCCGCGUGAGUUCGAAUAUCAUCCUGAUCG